rnacentral:rRNA from 1 species
GGUUAAGCGACUAAGCGUACACGGUGGAUGCCCUGGCAGUCAGAGGCGAUGAAGGACGUGCUAAUCUGCGAAAAGCGUCGGUAAGGUGAUAUGAACCGUUACAGCCGGCGAUGUCCGAAUGGGGAAACCCAGUGCAAUUCGUUGCACUAUCGUUAACUGAAUACAUAGGUUAACGAGGCGAACCGGGGGAACUGAAACAUCUAAGUACCCCGAGGAAAAGAAAUCAACCGAGAUUCCCCCAGUAGCGGCGAGCGAACGGGGAGCAGCCCAGAGUCUGAAUCAGCUUGUGUGUUAGUGGAACGGUCUGGAAAGUCCGACGGUACAGGGUGAUAGUCCCGUACACCAAAAUGCACAGGCUGUGAACUCGAAGAGUAGGGCGGGACACGUGGUAUCCUGUCUGAAUAUGGGGGGACCAUCCUCCAAGGCUAAAUACUCCUGACUGACCGAUAGUGAACCAGUACCGUGAGGGAAAGGCGAAAAGAACCCCGGCGAGGGGAGUGAAAAAGAACCUGAAACCGUGUACGUACAAGCAGUGGGAGCACCUUCGGGUGUGACUGCGUACCUUUUGUAUAAUGGGUCAGCGACUUAUAUUCUGUAGCAAGGUUAACCGUAUAGGGGAGCCGCAGGGAAACCGAGUCUUAACUGGGCGUUAAGUUGCAGGGUAUAGACCCGAAACCCGGUGAUCUAGCCAUGGGCAGGUUGAAGGUUGGGUAACACUAACUGGAGGACCGAACCGACUAAUGUUGAAAAAUUAGCGGAUGACUUGUGGCUGGGGGUGAAAGGCCAAUCAAACCGGGAGAUAGCUGGUUCUCCCCGAAAGCUAUUUAGGUAGCGCCUCGUGAACUCAUCUUCGGGGGUAGAGCACUGUUUCGGCUAGGGGGUCAUCCCGACUUACCAACCCGAUGCAAACUACGAAUACCGAAGAAUGUUAUCACGGGAGACACACGGCGGGUGCUAACGUCCGUCGUGAAGAGGGAAACAACCCAGACCGCCAGCUAAGGUCCCAAAGUCACAGUUAAGUGGGAAACGAUGUGGGAAGGCACAGACAGCCAGGAUGUUGGCUUAGAAGCAGCCAUCAUUUAAAGAAAGCGUAAUAGCUCACUGGUCGAGUCGGCCUGCGCGGAAGAUGUAACGGGGCUAAACUGUGCACCGAAGCUGCGGCAGCGACACUAUGUGUUGUUGGGUAGGGGAGCGUUCUGUAAGCCUGCGAAGGUGGCCUGUGAGGGUUGCUGGAGGUAUCAGAAGUGCGAAUGCUGACAUAAGUAACGAUAAUGCGGGUGAAAAGCCCGCACGCCGGAAGACCAAGGGUUCCUGUCCAACGUUAAUCGGGGCAGGGUGAGUCGACCCCUAAGGCGAGGCCGAAAGGCGUAGUCGAUGGGAAACAGGUUAAUAUUCCUGUACUUGGUGUUACUGCGAAGGGGGGACGGAGAAGGCUAUGUUAGCCGGGCGACGGUUGUCCCGGUUUAAGCAUGUAGGCGGAGGUUCCAGGUAAAUCCGGUACCUUUUUAACGCUGAGGUGUGAUGACGAGGCACUACGGUGCUGAAGUAACAAAUGCCCUGCUUCCAGGAAAAGCCUCUAAGCAUCAGGUAACAUUGAAUCGUACCCCAAACCGACACAGGUGGUCAGGUAGAGAAUACCAAGGCGCUUGAGAGAACUCGGGUGAAGGAACUAGGCAAAAUGGUGCCGUAACUUCGGGAGAAGGCACGCUGAUAUGUAGGUGAAGCCCCUGCGGGUGGAGCUGAAAUCAGUCGAAGAUACCAGCUGGCUGCAACUGUUUAUUAAAAACACAGCACUGUGCAAACACGAAAGUGGACGUAUACGGUGUGACGCCUGCCCGGUGCCGGAAGGUUAAUUGAUGGGGUUAUCCGUAAGGAGAAGCUCUUGAUCGAAGCCCCGGUAAACGGCGGGCCGUAACUAUAACGGUCCUAAGGUAGCGAAAUUCCUUGUCGGGUAAGUUCCGACCUGCACGAAUGGCGUAAUGAUGGCCAGGCUGUCUCCACCCGAGACUCAGUGAAAUUGAACUCGCUGUGAAGAUGCAGUGUACCCGCGGCAAGACGGAAAGACCCCGUGAACCUUUACUAUAGCUUGACACUGAACAUUGAGCCUUGAUGUGUAGGAUAGGUGGGAGGCUUUGAAGCGUGGACGCCAGUCUGCGUGGAGCCAACCUUGAAAUACCACCCUUUAAUGUUUGAUGUUCUAACGUUGGCCCCUGACCGGGGUUGCGGACAGUGUCUGGUGGGUAGUUUGACUGGGGCGGUCUCCUCCCAAAGAGUAACGGAGGAGCACGAAGGUUAGCUAAUCCUGGUCGGACAUCAGGAGGUUAGUGCAAUGGCAUAAGCUAGCUUGACUGCGAGCGUGACGGCGCGAGCAGGUGCGAAAGCAGGUCAUAGUGAUCCGGUGGUUCUGAAUGGAAGGGCCAUCGCUCAACGGAUAAAAGGUACUCCGGGGAUAACAGGCUGAUACCGCCCAAGAGUUCAUAUCGACGGCGGUGUUUGGCACCUCGAUGUCGGCUCAUCACAUCCUGGGGCUGAAGUAGGUCCCAAGGGUAUGGCUGUUCGCCAUUUAAAGUGGUACGCGAGCUGGGUUUAGAACGUCGUGAGACAGUUCGGUCCCUAUCUGCCGUGGGCGCUGGAGAAUUGAGGGGGGCUGCUCCUAGUACGAGAGGACCGGAGUGGACGCAUCACUGGUGUUCGGGUUGUCAUGCCAAUGGCAUUGCCCGGUAGCUAAAUGCGGAAGAGAUAAGUGCUGAAAGCAUCUAAGCACGAAACUUGCCCCGAGAUGAGUUCUCCCUGAGACUUUAAGUCUCCUGAAGGAACGUUAAAGACGAUGACGUUGAUAGGUCGGGUGUGUAAGCGUAGCGAUACGUUGAGCUAACCGAUACUAAUGAACCGUGAGGCUUAACCUU